AUUGAACGCUGGCGGCAUGCUUUACACAUGCAAGUCGAACGGUAACAGGGAGCGUUGCUCCGCUGACGAGUGGCGAACGGGUGAGUAAUGCAUCGGAACGUACCCAGGUCGUGGGGGAUAACGUAGCGAAAGUUACGCUAAUACCGCAUACGUCCUGAGGGAGAAAGCGGGGGACCGUAAGGCCUCGCGCGAUUGGAGCGGCCGAUGUCGGAUUAGCUAGUUGGUGGGGUAAAGGCCUACCAAGGCGACGAUCCGUAGCGGGUCUGAGAGGAUGAUCCGCCACACUGGGACUGAGACACGGCCCAGACUCCUACGGGAGGCAGCAGUGGGGAAUUUUGGACAAUGGGGGCAACCCUGAUCCAGCCAUGCCGCGUGAGUGAAGAAGGCCUUCGGGCUGUAAAGCUCUUUCAGACGGAAAGAAAACGCAUCGGUGAAUACCCGGUGUGGAUGACGGUACCGUAAGAAGAAGCACCGGCUAACUACGUG
rnacentral:rRNA from 1 species